rnacentral:rRNA from 1 species
CCCACGGAAUCCAGAGCAUCGCCAGAGCUUCCGUACAAUCUGUCGAAACCCAAAAUUCGACCUUCGACCGAAUCGAUGGAAUUGACUGUUACUGCACGCCGAAUGCCCCCCCUGCGUUCCAAUCCCCUCCCAACACGGUCGCGUCCUGAAUGAAAUGGAACGGCAGGGGGGCAUUCCAGGUGGGUCCCGAAAAGGGAGCCUUGUCCAAAGUCGAACAUGCCGAUUUCAUCGAGUGAAUAUUACUCGACUCGUCGAGCACGUAGAGACAAAAGUAAGACCUCUACGAUGAUCUACAGAUUAUGCUCUUUCCAAUGGUAUCAUUGGUUAGUUAAUUUGAUGCACUAUUACAAAUUUUAUGCAUACUGAAAAAUUGACCUCAUUUUGGGUACUUACGCGUAAGCUACUUAGCGUUACUGCUGGGAAAGACCGGUGCCAGCCGCCGCGGUAAUACCGGCAGCUCAAGUGGUCGUCGCUUUUAUUGGGCCUAAAACGUCCGUAGCCUGUUUGGUAAAUCUGUGGGUAAAUCAACCAGCUCAACUGGUUGAAUUCUGCAGAGACUGCCAGACUAGGGACCGGGAGAGGUGUGGGGUACUCGAGGGGUAGAGGUAAAAUUCUGUCAUCCUUCGAGGACCACCAGUUGCGAAGGCGCCACACUGGAACGGAUUCGACGGUCAGGGACGAAGCCUAGGGGCACGAACCGGAUUAGAUACCCGGGUAGUCCUAGGUGUAAACGCUGUGAACUUGGUGUCGGGGAUCCGUAAUGGGUUCUCGGUGCCGGAGUGAAGAUGUUAAGUUCACUGCCUGGGGAGUACGGUCGCAAGGCUGAAACUUAAAGGAAUUGGCGGGGGAGCACUGCAACGGGAGGAGCGUGCGGUUUAAUUGGAUUCAACGCCGGAAAACUCACCAGGGCCGACUGUUAGAUGAAGACCAGUGUAACGAGCUUGUCGGAUUUUCAGAGAGGUGGUGCAUGGCCGUCGUCAGUUCGUACUGUAAAGCGUUCUGUUAAGUCAGAUAACGAACGAGACCCUCAUCUCUAUUUGCAACCUGUCUCUCCGGAGGCGGCGCACUAUAGAGAGACCGCUGGUGUGAAACCAGAGGAAGGCGAGGGCAACGACAGGUCAGUAUGCCCCGAAUGUCCUGGGCUACACGCGCGCUACAAAGGACGGGACAAUGGGAGGCUAGGCCGAGAGGCCACGCUAACCCGAAACCCGUUCAUAGUUCGGAUUGAGGGCUGUAACUCGCCCUCAUGAAGCUGGAUUCCGUAGUAAUCGUGUUUCAAUAUAGCACGGUGAAUAUGCCCCUGCUCCUUGCACACACCGCCCGUCAAACCAUCUUAGUUGGGGGUGGGUGAGGCUGCGCUUCAUGGCGUAUUCGAGCCUGUCUUCGACAAGGAGGGUUAAGUCGUAACAAGGUAUCUGUAGGGGAACCUGCAGAUG